rnacentral:rRNA from 1 species
UACGUAGGAUGCUAGCGUUGUCCGGAUUUACUGGGCGUAAAGCGCGCGCAGGCGGCACUGUAAGUAAGGUGUGAAAUCUCCCUGCUCAACGGGGAGGGUGCACUUUAGACUGCAGAGCUAGAGGACGGUAGAGGGGGGUGGAAUUGCUGGUGUAGCGGUGAAAUGCGUAGAGAUCAGCAGGAACACCCGUGGCGAAGGCGGCCCCCUGGGCCGAACCUGACGCUGAGGCGCGAAAGCGUGGGGAGCGAACAGG